rnacentral:rRNA from 1 species
AGAGUUUGAUCAUGGCUCAGAUUGAACGCUGGCGGCAGGCCUAACACAUGCAAGUCGAACGGUAACAGGAAGAAGCUUGCUUCUUUGCUGACGAGUGGCGGACGGGUGAGUAAUGUCUGGGAAACUGCCUGAUGGAGGGGGAUAACUACUGGAAACGGUAGCUAAUACCGCAUAACGUCGCAAGACCAAAGAGGGGGACCUUCGGGCCUCUUGCCAUCGGAUGUGCCCAGAUGGGAUUAGCUUGUUGGUGGGGUAACGGCUCACCAAGGCGACGAUCCCUAGCUGGUCUGAGAGGAUGACCAGCCACACUGGAACUGAGACACGGUCCAGACUCCUACGGGAGGCAGCAGUGGGGAAUAUUGCACAAUGGGCGCAAGCCUGAUGCAGCCAUGCCGCGUGUAUGAAGAAGGCCUUCGGGUUGUAAAGUACUUUCAGCGGGGAGGAAGGGAGUAAAGUUAAUACCUUUGCUCAUUGACGUUACCCGCAGAAGAAGCACCGGCUAACUCCGUGCCAGCAGCCGCGGUAAUACGGAGGGUGCAAGCGUUAAUCGGAAUUACUGGGCGUAAAGCGCACGCAGGCGGUUUGUUAAGUCAGAUGUGAAAUCCCCGGGCUCAACCUGGGAACUGCAUCUGAUACUGGCAAGCUUGAGUCUCGUAGAGGGGGGUAGAAUUCCAGGUGUAGCGGUGAAAUGCGUAGAGAUCUGGAGGAAUACCGGUGGCGAAGGCGGCCCCCUGGACGAAGACUGACGCUCAGGUGCGAAAGCGUGGGGAGCAAACAGGAUUAGAUACCCUGGUAGUCCACGCCGUAAACGAUGUCGACUUGGAGGUUGUGCCCUUGAGGCGUGGCUUCCGGAGCUAACGCGUUAAGUCGACCGCCUGGGGAGUACGGCCGCAAGGUUAAAACUCAAAUGAAUUGACGGGGGCCCGCACAAGCGGUGGAGCAUGUGGUUUAAUUCGAUGCAACGCGAAGAACCUUACCUGGUCUUGACAUCCACGGAAGUUUUCAGAGAUGAGAAUGUGCCUUCGGGAACUGUGAGACAGGUGCUGCAUGGCUGUCGUCAGCUCGUGUUGUGAAAUGUUGGGUUAAGUCCCGCAACGAGCGCAACCCUUAUCCUUUGUUGCCAGCGGUCCGGCCGGGAACUCAAAGGAGACUGCCAGUGAUAAACUGGAGGAAGGUGGGGAUGACGUCAAGUCAUCAUGGCCCUUACGACCAGGGCUACACACGUGCUACAAUGGCGCAUACAAAGAGAAGCGACCUCGCGAGAGCAAGCGGACCUCAUAAAGUGCGUCGUAGUCCGGAUUGGAGUCUGCAACUCGACUCCAUGAAGUCGGAAUCGCUAGUAAUCGUGGAUCAGAAUGCCACGGUGAAUACGUUCCCGGGCCUUGUACACACCGCCCGUCACACCAUGGGAGUGGGUUGCAAAAGAAGUAGGUAGCUUAACCUUCGGGAGGGCGCUUACCACUUUGUGAUUCAUGACUGGGGUGAAGUCGUAACAAGGUAACCGUAGGGGAACCUGCGGUUG